rnacentral:lncRNA from 1 species
CCGUGCCGCUUGCCGCGUUCCCAGUCUACGACCAGACUCCCAACACCGCGGAGGGAAGCCAGUGCGCCCCGCUUUCCCAGGAUUUCGUAGACUAAUUCGCCACCCGAAGAGUUUUCGAAAAUUCACACCCUGGGACUCAAUCGUAUGUGCGGAGAUAAUUUCCCCGGUGACGAUACAUCGCAAAGGAAAGCAAGUUCAAUUUCUCUCAGUUUUCGGAGAAAGUUUGAAGGGCUCUAAAUUUGUCGACCACCGAGAAAUUGUGGCUCCCUCUCUUAGGUGCAUGAAUUUUGAUUAGAAAACGAUUUUUUAAUGGUAGAAAACUAAUUUUAAAUUUUUCGGUGCUAGAUUGUCAUUUUACCGUUUUUUAUCGUUUUUAUUGAGAAAUGGGAUAGUUAGUGACGAUUUUUACCAUUUUUCUAAUCGUGCGAGUUGUGCGAUUUGUGGCGUUUUGACGUUUUCGGAGCAAUAGUUUAUAACAUUAACAGUGAUAUAAUACUCAAGUUUAUAACAUUAACAGUGAUAAUAACAAUCACGUUUAUAACAUUUACAGUGAUAAUAAUACUCGAGAGUUACAUUAAUUUGCAAUCGCCGUUCAAUUUGUGCAUCUUCGGAUUUCUAAUAAACAAAUUGGAUAACCGUUGGAUUUAAAAUGAGCAAAGACACAGCAAAAGAAAACCAGCUACCACGAGUGCCACCAGCCAAUGUUUCGAUAGUAGAUGAGAAACAUAGCUCCUCAUUGGUAUCUCAAGAGCAAACCCUUCCUUGGACCAUACCAAGGCCGGUCCUGCUGACAAGAAAUUCUUCCUCGCAGCUCUCUUACCAGUGCCAAAGUGACCCAAAACCAGAACACAGCUCGGAUGGAGAAAGUCAACCAUACUCCUAUUUGACAACUGAAACAAAUGUGUCAGAGAACUAUGGUGACUCUAGUAUAUCCCCCUCUAGUAAUUCAAGUACUCAGGUAAGCUGUUUCUUUACGGAAAUUCUGUUGUUUUUGAUAAAUUUUCUAAACGCGAAAAU